rnacentral:lncRNA from 1 species
UAGAUAAAGAUUAUAUUUUGUUCCCGGAUUGCUGUUUCGUUGACGUGUCCAUGUGUCUCAAAACGUGACCGAUGUCAAAGACAGGUAACUCAAAUACACAUAACAACUAACCAACGAUUAGAAUAUGAGUCAUAAUUCUUACUACACAGAGAAACGUUAAUGAAUUACACAAUACUUUAAUAAAAUGUUAAGAAAAAGUAUGCACCCAUUUCCAUUAGCUAGACCAAGUAUAUUACAAAUUCGCACUACAGGAAUGUUAAAGUACGAUUGCAAUACCAAUAAAUCUUAAUAAAGUACAACAUGGUAUUGAAUUG